CGCGUAGGUGGUUUGUUAAGUUGGAUGUGAAAGCCCCGGGCUCAACCUGGGAACUGCAUCCAAAACUGGCAAGCUAGAGUACGGUAGAGGGUGGUGGAAUUUCCUGUGUAGCGGUGAAAUACGUAGAUAUAGGAAGGAACACCAGUGGCGAAGGCGACCACCUGGACUGAUACUGACACUGAGGUGCGAAAGCGUGGGGAGCAAACA
rnacentral:rRNA from 1 species